UUCUAAUUGGGCGUAAAGAGAGUGCAGGCGGUUUUCUAAGUCUGAUGUGAAAGCCUUCGGCUUAACCGGAGAAGUGCAUCGGAAACUGGAUAACUUGAGUGCAGAAGAGGGUAGUGGAACUCCAUGUGUAGCGGUGGAAUGCGUAGAUAUAUGGAAGAACACCAGUGGCGAAGGCGGCUACCUGGUCUGCAACUGACGCUGAGACUCGAAAGCAUGGGUAGCGAACAGGAUUAGAUACCCUGGUA
rnacentral:rRNA from 1 species